AGUCGAGCGGACAGAUGGGAGCUUGCUCCCUGAUGUCAGCGGCGGACGGGUGAGUAACACGUGGGUAACCUGCCUGUAAGACUGGGAUAACUCCGGGAAACCGGGGCUAAUACCGGAUGCUUGAUUGAACCGCAUGGUUCAAUUAUAAAAGGUGGCUUUUACCUACCACUUACAGAUGGACCCGCGGCGCAUUACCUAGUUGGUGAGGUAACGGCUCACCAAGGCAACGAUGCGUACCCGACCUGAAAGGGUGAUCGGCCACACUGGGACUGAAACACGGCCCAAACUCCUACGGGAGGCAGCAGUAGGGAAUCUUCCGCAAUGGACAAAAGUCUGACGGAGCAACGCCGCGUGAGUGAUGAAGGUUUUCGGAUCGUAAAACUCUGUUGUUAGGGAAAAACAAGUACCGUUCGAAUAGGGCGGUACCUUGACGGUACCUAACCAAAAAGCCACGGCUAACUACGUGCCACCAGCCGCGGUAAUACGUAGGUGGCAAGCGUUGUCCGGAAUUAUUGGGCGUAAAGCGCGCGCAGGCGGUUUCUUAAGUCUGAUGUGAAAGCCCCCGGCUCAACCGGGGAGGGUCAUUGGAAACUGGGGAACUUGAGUGCAGAAAAGGAGAGUGGAAUUCCACGUGUAGCGGUGAAAUGCGUAGAGAUGUGGAGGAACACCAGUGGCGAAGGCGACUCUCUGGUCUGUAACUGACGCUGAGGCGCGAAAGCGUGGGGAGCGAACAGGAUUAGAUACCCUGGUAGUCCACGCCGUAAACGAUGAGUGCUAAGUGUUAGAGGGUUUCCGCCCUUUA
rnacentral:rRNA from 1 species